GAAGUCACGACGAUUAUCGAGCCCCAUUUGAACCUUAGGAAUUCAUAGGAUACAAAUGACAUGUCAUUAGGGUUUUCUUGUUUCGGGUGCUGGUCCUGAAUGUCCUACCGAUGGAUGAGGUCCUGCAUUUGUUACAAAUACUCCACCGCUCGUGUGAACAACAUCGUGUAGCUUAAAUUCUGACCCACAGCUCGUGUGAGCAAUGAUGUAAAGGAAAUGAAAUGUUUAUAGCCUCUAUAUGAUAGCCGAAUGGACAGAAUAAACAAACUUAGAGACUAAGUAAUUCGGCUUUAAUUGUAUGAAUUAAUCUAGAAAUGUAUUUCCUAUUAGCUAUGUCUAGAUUUGGCUGGAUGUAAGGUUCAAUGUUCAGCUUUAAAGCUAAGGAAAUGAAUGUGGCAGCUGGUGAAUGCAUAGGAGACCAUCGGCCAUGUCUAGGUUCAGCCAAAGGGUGAAUGGUCCCUCCAAUAGAUGCCUCUUGGCCAAAUAAACUCAUAGGAGAUCAAUAGCCAGCAAACGAUGCAUGUAGGUGAGUAUUCAUGCACUCUUCCAUGGAUUGUAAUGAACCAUUCAUGCACCAUCCUUAAUGCAUUCAUACGUUGAAGGUAGUCAUUCAUGCACCCGCACGUACAUUGAACCAGCCUGUUCAUGAACCAUCAUUAAUUGUGUUUUCCACAUUCGGAUGUACCUACGAAAGACAUGAGCAAAUUAAGUUCAAUGUAUAUUUGGCUGAUCUUAGACUAAAUAAUAUCAAGACAUAUUAAAUUAACAAAUUAAAAACAGAUAAUAAAAUAUAGCUAAUAAUAAAUUCGGCUAGCUCAAUAAUAGAUGAAAUUCUUAAGGAGCUGAAUUGAGCUAGAGAAUUCGAUCAUGAGCUGUAGCAAAAUAAUUAAAAUAAAAAUAAUACUUAAUUUAUUUAUAUGAUAAAAGAAAUGAGCUGAAAGUAUGCUUAAUUGAGCUCAAACGAGCUGAAAAGAGCUCAAGUGAGCUGAUUUGAGUAGGAACGAGCCGAGGGAGCUAGAAUUGAGCUAAAAUCAGCUUGCACUAAGGUGCAAGGAGUCUUCAAGAAAUGGGCUCAAGCUUCUCUUUCAUCCAUAAGCUGAUUCUCCUUCCGAAGUCAAAGAAAUAGAGCUAAAAUAGCUUCAUGAAAGCGUUUGGAUCGAGCUCGAGUCAAUGGUCCUUUUGGAAGCUCGAUGGAAUCAUGGCUAGGGCUUAGCGGUGCUUGGGAUGUGGUCACGUCACCUAUUCGGGUGACAAAAAUUGGGUUUGGGGUGUUACAUGAGUGUUCUCGCAUAACUCACUUAAACAAUGGUUUGCAUGCUUAAGAAAGUCCAGGUAAGGCAUGCGGACGUUGUUGAAAUUUCAUGGGAGCCCUGCUAUAUAUUAUGCAAGCCUUGAUUUAUCAUCUACGAACCUUGUUACAAUGUGUGCGAGCUUUACAUAUUUUGUGUGAGCCUAUAAUAUGCAAGCCCAAUAAAAGUAUUGUGUGAACCCUAUAAAAGUACUGUGCCAACUUUAUAAAAGUGAGUGAGCUUACAAGUGUGCAAGAUUAUAUAUGUCAUGUGAACACCAGUAUCACGCGGGCUUGUAUAUUAUGCAAGCCCACUUGUGAUAAAUGCGAACCCUACUUUCAAAUGUUUUAUGCGAGCUUAAAUGUUUCAUGUGAGCUUAACUAUUUUAUAUGAGCCAAAUGUUUUAUACAAGCUUAAAUGUUUUAUGCGAGCCUAAAAAUACUAUACGAGCCUAUAUCCAUGUGCAAACCCCUUACAUUUUGUACGAACUCUAUGCCAUUCGAACCCAUAUAUUAUGUGUGAACCCAUAUGAUAUAAGUGAGCCCAUGUUUUUGCAAGCUCUGUUAGAUUGUGAGCCUUAUUAUACUGUGUAUUGUGAAUGUGAUAAAAAAAAUGAUAUGUUGGCAUUGUUAACGAUUGUAACCGCUAGAUAUAAUUGGCAAGCCAUAGGACUGUGAUUACUCACCCUUUCUACUCUAUGUUAUGGCAUUGUAGCUCAGAGAUAGUGUUGGAGAGAUAAGGGAAUGUUGAGCAUAGCUCCAUUCAUUGUAGAUAGCGUGGUAUGUUUGAAGAGUGUGAACAUUCACGCUUGGUAUGUUUGAAGAGUGUGAACAUUCACGCUACACUUACAUGAAGAUAGUGUUCGACUCCUUGAGUCAUAUGGAGUGUUUUGGAGAUCCUCUUAUCUAAUUGUGUCGCGUGAUUACGUGGAAGUGUAUACGAUCAUACAAGUAAUAUGUAGCAAGUAAAGAGUAUUGUUUCCAUAGAAAUUGUUGUGUGAAUUAUUUUCAACGUCAAGUUUAAUCAAUUUUGAAGGAACAAAUAAAAGAGAAUAUUAUUGAUGAGAGUCGCAAAAUUAAAUUAAGAAAUGUAUCUAAAGUUCAAAGACCCAUAAAAAAAACAACAUUCCUUACAGAAAAUAAUCACAACAAGAAAUGAACUAAAGAUUUAAUAUAACACAACAUGAAUAAACUAAAAUAAAUAUGUCACAUAAUAAGAAUUUAUUGGUAUUCAUAAAAAGAAUAUAAUGGAGGAUCGUGGGAAUAUGAAAAUUCAUUAAACCCAUUUUAUUUAAGGCAUAGGCUUAUCUCGAAGUCCUAUUAUGUCCCUAAGUUAAUUAGCAUAUGCUUAUAUCAAAAACUAACCUAAAAAUCACCCUUUCAAGCAUUUACAUAGUUUAUGCAUACAGUAAUCAUCUUUCAAUACCGACAUGAUAUGCACCAUUUAGGUAUUUUGUCAAUUAACCAUUACCUCUUCUCAGAUUAAAUAGUUAAUUAAUUAACCUACAAAUGUUGGCCAUAAAUUUAUAAGUAUAAUCAUGAAUUAAACCUAAAUGAAUUAAAUAAUCAUUUGUACAAAAUAUUCAGACAACAAAAACAAAUUAAUUCAUACCAAGAUUCAUAUCCAUUUUGAAUAAACAAAAUUAAGUCAUGACAUAUCAAAUUAAAAACAUGAAGAUGAGAUGCAAUUUUAUCUCUCGACACAAGAAAAAAUUGACUACAGGGGUUGUUUGUGACUGCUCCUUGCAGCUUCCCAUGGUGGCUCUCCUCCACGUCAUUUAUGCUAAAAUCAUCUACACGUAUUCAAUUCAUCCUCCUACAUGCUCUUAUAUCGGCAAGUGUUUGCCUUAUUUUGUGGAAAUCAAAUGUUUAGUAAGACAUGGAGAAAAAUUGGUGUAAU
rnacentral:lncRNA from 1 species